rnacentral:lncRNA from 10 species
AAACCCUGUCUCUACUAAAAAUACAAAAAUUAGCAGGGCAUGGUGGUGUGUGCUUGUAAUCCCAGCUACUCGGUAGGCAGGGGCUCCAGAAUCACUUCAGCCUGGGAGGCAGAGGUUGCAGUGAGCUGAGGUCGUGCCACUGCACUCCAGCCUGGGUGACAAAGCAAAACUCUGACUCAAAGAAGAGAGUGUGCGUAAAUAGAGCCAAGACCCUGGGCCUCCCAGCUGCAGUUAGCGCAGGGGCAGCCCUCUCUCGAAAGCCGGGGUCCUUAACGACCUGCCCUACUCAGCUCACCAGAGAGCUGGAAGAGCUCAAGGAGAUUGAGGCGGAUCUGGAGCGACAGGAGAAGGAGGUCGACGAGGACACGACAGUCACAAUCCCCUCGGCCGUCUCCUAGAGUGGCCUCAGCUAGGUAACCAACGGGAGUCGACUUAUCUAUGCCAGGCCUGCAGUUUCACAUCUGUGACGGGAUGGGACAAAUGACACCGUGGUAUUCGAUGACAGCUCCCAGGUACUUCAAGGUUGGCCCUUACUCAUUCAGGGGGUAUGUUUGAGUGCCACGGUGUGCCCAGACUCUGCUAGGCACCAGAGAGACAAGAUACGAGUGACAUGGUUCUCCUCCCACUGCUGACGGAGGAAUUAACACAAAAGCAGACAACACUCUAGAACUGGAGAGAGGUCCAGAUUGCGACAGGAGCCACACCAGAGUGUGCAGGCUUCAUGGAGGACAGAAGCGACUUUUGUGCCGGGACUUAAAAAGAUAAGGAGGCCAGGUGUGGUGGCUCAUGCCUGCAAUCCCAGCACUGUAGAAGGCAGAGGCCGGCAGAUCACUUGAGCCCAGGAGUUGGAGACCAGACUGGGGAACAUGGCAAGACCCCAUCUCUACAAAAAAAUUAAAAAAUUUGGCCUGGUGUGGUGGCUCAUGCCUGUGAUCCUAGCACUUUGGGAGUUAAAAUACAACACUUCCCAGCUGCCCUUAUAGUUAAGGUCUGGCCAGUGAAAUGUAUGUGGAAAUGUUACAUGACACUUCUAGAAGGAUUCUUAAAAGACAAAUACACCCUUUCUUCCCCCUUCCUAUUUCCUGGAAUGUGGGUGUGAUGGCUGGAGCCCUGGCAGCCAUACUGCCACGUGUACAGACGAGUGCCGUCCUUUAGGGAUGACAGGAGCCUGGUUCCCUGAUGAUGGCAGAGCCAGAUAUCAGCACAAACUUAUUUAAAUGGGAGAGAGAAGGGGAGAACCAAUCUCAACUUCUACCUUGUGUAAGCUGCUGGUUUUGGGGGUUUUCUAUGACAGAUACCAAAAUAAACCCUAA